rnacentral:rRNA from 1 species
CCUACGGGGGGCAGCAGUGGGGAAUAUUGGGCAAUGGACGCAAGCCUGACCCAGCAACGCCGCGUGAAGGAAGAAGGCCUUCGGGUUGUAAACUUCUUUUAUGGGGGAAGAACAGUAGACGUUACCCCUGGAUUAAGCCACGCCUAACAACGUGCCAGAAGCCGCGGUAAUACGUAGGUGGCAAGCGUUGUACGGAUUUACUGGGUGUAAAGGGCGGGCAGCCGGGAAGACAAGUCAGAUGUGAAAUCCCGCGGCUUAACCGCGGAACUGCAUUUGAAACUGUUUUUCUUGAGUAUCGGAGAGGUAAGCGGAAUUCCUAGUGUAGCGGUGAAAUGCGUAGAUAUUAGGAAGAACACCAGUGGCGAAGGCGGAUUACUGGACGUCAACUGACGCUGAGGCGCGAAAGCGUGGGGAGCAAACAGGAUUAGAUACCCCUGUAGUC